rnacentral:rRNA from 1 species
AUUGAACGCUGGCGGCAGGCCUAACACAUGCAAGUCGAGCGGAGCGGCAGACGGGUGAGUGAUGCCUAGGAGUCUGCCUGGUGGUGUGGAAUAACGUCCGGAAACGGGCGCUAAUACCGAAUACUAUCAGACUAGCCUAAGUCGGAUUCGCUAGUUGGUGGGGUAAAGGCCUACAAAGGCGAAGAUCCGAAACUGGUCUGAGAGGAGGAUCAGUCACACUGGAACUGAGACAGGGUCAAGAUUCUGACGGGAGGCAGCAGGGGGGAAUAUUGGAAAAGGGGCGAAAGCCUGAUCCAGCAAUGCGGCGGGUGGGAAGAAGGUCUUCGGAUUGUAAAGCAUUUUAAGUGGGGAGGCGGUACCAACAGAAUAAGCACCGGCUAACUUCGUGCCAGCAGCCGCGGUAAUAC